rnacentral:rRNA from 1 species
CAACAGGGAUUGCCCCAGUAACGGCGAGUGAAGCGGCAACAGCUCAAAUUUGAAAUCUGGCCCCUAGGGUCCGAGUUGUAAUUUGUAGAGGAUGCUUUUGGUGAGGUGCCGCCCGAGUUCCCUGGAACGGGACGCCGCAGAGGGUGAGAGCCCCGUCUGGCUGGCCACCGAGCCUAUGUAAAGCUCCUUCGACGAGUCGAGUAGUUUGGGAAUGCUGCUCAAAAUGGGAGGUAUAUGUCUUCUAAAGCUAAAUAUUGGCCAGAGACCGAUAGCGCACAAGUAGAGUGAUCGAAAGAUGAAAAGCACCUUGAAAAGAGGGUUAAACAGUACGUGAAAUUGUUGAAAGGGAAGCGCUUGUGACCAGACUUGGGCGCGGCGGAUCAUCCGGGGUUCUCCCCGGUGCACUUCGCCGCGUUCAGGCCAGCAUCAGUUCGGCGCGGGGGAAAAAGGCUUCGGGAACGUGGCUCCUCCGGGAGUGUUAUAGCCCGUUGCAUAAUACCCUGCGCUGGACUGAGGACCGCGCAUCUGCAAGGAUGCUGGCGUAAUGGUCACCAGCGA